CCUGAUAGCUCAGAUGGUAAAGCGUCUGCCUACAAUGCAGGAGACCCAGGUUCCAUCCCUGGGUCAGGA
rnacentral:tRNA from 1 species